GGGCGCAUGCGCAUUUGUUGGCUUGCGGGUUCCGACAGAGUCCUUUAUUUUUCGGUGGAGCUGCUCUGUUUUCUUAAGUCUCUACUUGAUUGGAUAAGAUGGAAUUAAGAAGGAGGACCUGACCAUUGGCCCCUGAUUACAUGUCUUUGACAUCAAAAGUUUUUCUGGGCUUCCCUGCUGGCGC